rnacentral:rRNA from 1 species
UGGCUCAGAACGAACGCUGGCUCGCGUGCCUCAGACAUGCAAGUCGAACGCGAAAGUCCCCUUCGGGGGACAAGUAGGAGUGGCGCACGGGUGAGUAACACGUAGGUAAUCUACCUUUGGAUUGGGAAUAACCACCGGAAACGGUGGCUAGAUACCGAAUAAUGCAGCGGCACCUAAUGGUGACAGUUGUUAAAGCGGGGGAUCGCAAGACCUCGCGUCUGAAGAGGAGCCUGCGGCAGAUUAGCUAGUUGGUAAGGUAACGGCUUACCAAGGCGAUGAUCUGUAGCCGGCCUGAGAGGGCGGUCGGCCACACUGACACUGACAUACGGGUCAGACUCCUACGGGAGGCAGCAGUGGG